CUCUAUUCUCAUCUUGCCUACUUCUCAUUUUAAAAAGAAGAAAAUGCCAUCUUCUAUAAAGUGAUUCUGAAAACUAAGAGGACACCGACAGCAAAACUCAGAUUCUCCUUCUCGCUUGCCUCUAUUUUUGAUUCAUUUAGUAUGAAAUCUCUAAGAGUAUCAUUACAGAUAUUUUAGAACUUUAAAAGAGUGAUUUCAGAAAGAAUAUGCAUUUCCUAUGUGCCUUAUAAAUGUGAAGGGCAGGUGAAAGUGACUCUUCCAAAACUAACCGUCAUGGUGAAAGAGUCUAGCUUCCCUGUCCUCUCCCUCCUCCCUGCACUGGGCCCUCUGCAUGACAAAUCCUGAGAACCUCUCAACAUGCACAUCGUGAUCCCUGUCAUCUGCAUUGUAACUAAGGUUUCCUAGGUGAUACUCCUUCCUCCAGCCUCUCUCCCUUCCAAUUGACAGGUAGCAGUGAUUUUUCUGCAACCUAAAUGUUACCAUGUCACUGGCUCACCUCCUGUGACUACUUACCAGAAAAAUCCUGUUCAUCCUUGAAAAUCCUGUACCGGCUUCAUUUGCUCUGAGCCUUUCCCUGACCACCCUUCACUAUCCUUGGAGUGAACUCAGCUCUCCUACUUCAAUUUUAAUAUACACUUGUGCUGUCACAUGCCUCACUGUGCAUUGCAAUGGUUUAUUUACAAUGUUUGCCUCUUGGAGAAGUUUGCAGGUUUUUUGAGGACAAGACAUUAUCAUCAUGAUCAUUUCUGACUCUCUAACUUCUAGCACAGCCUAGAAAAUAACAAGCCCAUGAGAAGUGUUUCAGAACCAGAAAGGAUCAACUGUCUGCCGGGUGAAACUAAGUAAAUCCACUGAGCUUUCCUGUGCUCAGCUGUGCACUACCAUUCUUGUUCUUUCCUUCCUCUCGUUGGUCAAUAGGAAAGUGACUCUUAGCUUUCAGCUAAAUAGUUAAUCUGCCAAUGCUUUUUAUUAAAUGCAGAAUGUUUUUAUAGAGUAAAUAAAGUAUUCCCAUACAAAGAGGUAGUCAUGGGCAGCCUUAUGUAAUAAAGACAUAGGUUUGCCUUUGGCAACCUUUCCUUUCAGGUUCUAUAUCCUUUAUUUUUGUACCUUCUACCCCAGAGGCUUCCCAUCAGGAAUGAAGUCAAAGGGUUGGGGUGGAGAGACGAGGGCAGGAGAGGGAGGAAAAGGUUCUUAACUGUAGCAUCCUGGUGUUGCUUCUGUUCUUGAUUAGUCUUCCUGAAGGAAAACUUAUCUGUCUUAUGUUCCAUUCCCACAGGGCCUACCCAGUCAUGAAAGUUAAUAAAAUAUUUCAUGUAAGAUACUCAGUUAUAUUGAGAGCUUAAAGUAUAACUCCUCUCAGGCAACAUUUGCAUUUUCACAAAUGCUCUCAGUCCCCAUCUCGAAAGAAUGAAUAGUAUUGGCAUGACUAUACUUUACAGCAAGUAUAUACCUUAUAAUAAUACCAAGGAAAAAGGUGUUUUUUAAAAAAGCUGAGGGUCUUUUAAUCAAAAUUACCUUGGUGCUGCCUGAAGUGUGUAGGUGCACAGAUGAAUCAGGAAUUGCUUUUGAUUGCCAAUGAUGGGCAAUCUUAAAGUAGUGACCUAAGCAAAUCAGGGGUUUAUUUUUCUUCAUCUAAAAAUGUCCCAAGUUCAGCAUUCGAGGGCCAGUGUAAUGGGUCCAUGAUACCUAAAAGUCCUAGACUUCUGUCUUUCUGCUCCAACAACCUGUAAUAGCUGGCUCCCGUACAUUUGCCUCUUGAUUACAGUAUGGCUAAUGCAUCUCCAACCCUAGAAGGAGGGGAUUGGGGCAAAAGCAAGACCCUUUUAAGUAGCUUUUCAAAAAGUUCCAACAGCUUUCACCUACAUGUGACUGGCUACCUCUGCUAGCAAGGAACUGGCUGGGAAAUGUUGUUAGCUAGGCAUGUUGCCAUGAUACGUAUCUGUAACUAAAGAAGAAAGGAAAAAGCUCUCCAAUAUGCAACUAGUUAUCUUACAGAAAUUCAAAUUGGGGCAAAUAAUCUGUUAUCUUCUGUCUUUAUGGGAUUAUUCAAAUAAAAAAUACUUAGAACUAAAACCUAGCUUAUUUUAGUCAGUGUUAUAUUAGGAUUGCCUUUAAGGUGGUAAUUAUUUUAAUGAAUAUAAGGAAUUAUAAGACCAUUCAGAAAAAUAUAUAGAAAAAUAGUGUGCUCAUUGUUUGCAUAGUACUAUGCUUGGUGCUAAGGAGAUGAGUGAAUUCUUUUUGCCCUCAAGUGUUUUAUCAGUCUAAUAGUCCAGGACAUAGAUACUUGAAAAUUUAAAUAACGGUAUAUUAUAUCAUAUGAUUAUGUAUUAAUCACAUAGUAAAACUAAAUCAUAUAGAUUAAAUUCUAUAGGAGAAAUUCAGAAUCCAGAGAGUGAUGAUUGUGACUAUGGUGGCCAAGGAAGACCUACGAAAGGUAGGAAAUGGAUAGAUUUGAACAGGCAGACAUGAAUGGUGGAGGCCAGGCCCCUACCUUUGAUUUGUACCACCUGUUAUUGUAGCAUAUUUAAAUUAAUAUAUUUGAUUUACUUACACUAUUUGAAUUUUUUUAGUGUUUUAAAAUAUUAUUUCUAUUUUAAAAAUUGACCCAAGCUUUAACUUAUAUUUUAAGAGAAAAAAAAUUCACACCAAAAUCAUAAAUGUAAUACCAAUUUUACUGGCCAACUAAAAUGUAACUUAAGAAAAUGACAAUAAGAUUUUAACAUAAUGAAAUAGAAGUAACAGUAUACCUGAGUCAAAUUAAGUUCUUUAGAGGGGAAAAUGGACCAUUCUGUGAUUAGUAUGUAGUAAAGGGAUAUUUGGUUCAGUAGCAUGCUGUUUAAGACAAAGGUGAGCUUCUAUAUCCAAAAAGACAAUUCUGGUUCUUAAUGUUAACCAGCAGCAACAAUUCCAAUUCACACAAAUAUAAAGUUGGAAAUACGUAAAUAUGUUUAAGACUGUCUCUUAUAAGCUGUUUGUACAAUCAGUUUUUAACUAAAAUGCUGUCAAAGACUUUUUUUGGAGCAAACGUUUGUUUCAAGAAGCCAUGUUAAGGCCAUUUUUAGAGUUCUCUUCUUUUGAAUGUAUCAGAUUUUGGAUAAUGUUCAAAAAGUGGUAGUACAAAAGAGUUCCUUUGCUAUUUACCACUACCAUCUUGUUUGGGAAAAUACUUAGGAAAACCUCUGAUAAGUUCAAAAUAUUUUUACUGAAUUCUUCAUUUGAGUUUACAACACAGUGUUUUAGGAAGUAAAGGGAUGUUUGAUAGUUGCCGUUUGUUUAAACGGACGAAUGAGGUUAUUAAACUGAAUCCCCAAGUUCUGGUGUUCUGAAUCUAGCAUUCAAUAAUAGUAAGAAAAGUUAUUUUUUUCUCUUCUACCAGGGUUGGGGUACUAUGCUGAAUGUAGCAUAUGUACAUAUAUCAUUUAGUUCUCCCCAUUUUACAGUUGAGACUGAGACUUAGAAAAUGACUUGCCCGGUCACUUAGAGGGCCCAGUGACUCUAACUUGAAUUCGCAUGUAUUGGACUUGAUCCAAACACUUAACUGCCCAGUCACUGAAUGAGAAUUGGGCACUAGUGCUCUGCCGCCGGAUUCCCAGAGCCCCGAGCUCUGAGCUCACCGUGGCUCGGUCAGUCUGCCGAGACCCCAUCCCUGCUGAGCACUUCGUGUACACACAGGUGCUGAGCGUGCAGGCUGAGGGGCCACCACUAAAGGCUUUGAUACAGAAAAGAAAGGAAAUAGCCGUGCCCUGUCCUGCCCUCCACUGUGCCUCCUUUCUGCCCAGCCUCCUAGUGCUCCUCCUCCUCAGCACAUGCACAGCCAGUGGCACAGACCCUCACUCCUCAGGAAUCACUGGAGGGAAUGACGACUAGAGGUCAACCGGCUCAGAUCCUCUAGGGCUUUGACUGGCAAAACUAAAAGUUUGACCUCUAUUUUGUACGUGAUUAGGAGGACCCUGACAACGUUAUCUUUAAAUUAGGGUAGAUAAAAAUCAGUGGUUUUCCUUCAAAACACAAAAAACAAAAACAUGUCCAGAUGGAACACAUUAUAAGGGGCAAAAUUUCUAAUUUUAUAAGAGCAGACGUAUAGUCAUGUCACUUUCUAAAGAAACAUUGUAAGUUUGUUGUAGUGUCUCCCAAACAUUUUCUUGCUCCAUCUAUAGCAGUUUUUAGAAUUGGCACUGCCGAGACUUGGCUUUGGAUAUAGCAGCAUGCAGUUUUUCAUAACAACACAUUUUGUUGGUGAUUCAGGUCAAUUAUUUAGGAGAUAGAUUUUUCUUGAUGAAAAUUUUAUCAUUUAAUGGACAGCCGUCAGUGACACAUGUGCAUGUAACCAUAAUGCUGUAGUCUGGUACUAACAGUAAUCACUGCCUUUAGGUUUGGGGAGCAAGUGAUUUGUUUGAUUUUAAUUUUGUUUUUAAAUUUAUUCAUUCAGCAAGUAAUUUUGAAGUAUCUCCUUUGAUCAUAGUUUUGCCUUGUUUUUGGCAAGGUGGGAGGGCUAUACAAAGGCACUUGGUGAGUGCCAGUCAUUUGAAUAUCCCUGAAAAAAAAUGAAAGCACCUUUUACUUUUUAUAAAUGUAAAUGAGCAGAAAAAGGAAAAUGCUAAAACCUGAGCUCAGAGCACAACCACAGUGCUUUAGGUCUCAUCAUAGGACUGGCAGAAAUAGCAGAUUUCAUUUUUAUUUUAAAGAAAGAUGUAUGUCAUGUCCUGACAUAAGCUUUUUAAAAAUUGUGUAUACUUUUUUCAUCAAUGAAAAAUUUUCAUGAUACAAAAGUAUAUGUUACUUUUAUUGACAUCAGUCCUAACAACACAUUAGAGAAAGCACGCAGUAUCAGCCUUCUGGAUGUCUUUGGUCAGUAGGAUUUAGGGGCUGGAGUCAUGUGCGACUCAUCCUUUUCCUCGCAUUUAAUUAUUCACUAAGUCCUGUCAGAGAGUCUCUUGUCUGUCCUCUCCUUUACCUCUCCUCUGCCAGGACCAGACAUCAGACCCUUAUCAUCACUCAUCUGAUUUAUUAUAGCCACCUGAAGAUCCUUCUUCCUCCUGAAUUCUGCCUUUCUGGUCUAUUUUUUUACAUGGUGUCAGAGUUCUGUACUUAAAAAAAAAAAAAGGAAAAAAGAAAGAAAAGAAGCGGUUGUAUUCCCAACUUCUCCCCCUCUCAAAAUCUAAUGUCACCUGCUACUUAACAGAAAUGUACAAAGCUUAGCAUGGUGUUUGCAGGUGGGCCUACACCCUCGGCAGGUCCCUGCAGGACUGCAGUCUGCCUCACACUCUGCGCUAGACCGGACUUCCACAUCUCAGACAUGCCAUUCGGUUGCACAGCUCUCUGCUCCCUGGGUAUUGAGCGUGCAAUGCUUUUUGGGCGGCAUCCGACAGCUGUUAUGGAGCUCAGCUCUGACCUUCACACCCCAGCCCAGCAUAGGACUGUUUUCCAGGUUCCAUGUCAGAGGUGCCCAGGAACUUUGAGCCAACUUUGAAGUGUAAAAAAUACAGUCAUACUGAUUCUUAUCUGCAGCAUACUUUGUUUCUAUUUUCCUUGUCCCUGAAUUUCUUUUUCAGUGUUUUAUUUAUUCUGUAGGAUAUUGACUCAAAACUUUUGGAGAAAGAGAUGUAGUAGGGCUUGAGUGAAUAUGAAUAAAUGGGCAGACCAUAUGUCUGUGAAAGCAGGAACUGUGUCUCGCUCAUCUGUGUAUCUUCCAGCACUCUGUCUUCAUUGCAUAAAUGAACUGAAUUGAAUUGAAGCAUAUUUCUAUCUCCACAUCUUUAAAAGUAGUAGUUUAAAUAAUGCUGGCAAUAAAAUAGAAUUGCCAGAGUAUAGAUAGCAAUUUUAAAAACC